ACAGCGGCAAAAUCCGUUGUCGGGAUUAGCCUCCCGUCUUUAUCAGGGCGUAAUAACGCCAGCUUAACGCUGGUUUUUU
rnacentral:sRNA from 1 species